AAAGAUAUUUAUGAAUCCUAAAUGAAUUAGUGACCCUUUACUAAUAAUUUAAAAAUCAAAUUAAAACGAGAACAACUUAGUUAUAAAAGAUAAUUAUGAAUCCUAAAUGAAUUAGUGACCAUUUACUAAUAAUUUUAAGAUCAAAUUAAAACGAGAACAACUGAAGUUAUAAAGAAUAAAAAAAAUUGAUACUGGGAACAAAGUGAGAUAGACAAUUCUUACUCCCUUGCCCCGAG
rnacentral:lncRNA from 1 species